AUUGAACGCUGGCGGCAGGCCUAACACAUGCAAGUCGAGCGGAUGAAGGGAGCUUGCUCCUGGAUUCAGCGGCGGACGGGUGAGUAAUGCCUAGGAAACUGCCUGGUAGUGGGGGAUAACGUCCGGAAACGGGCGCUAAUACCGCAUACGUCCUGCGGGAGAAAGUGGGGGAUCUUCGGACCUCACGCUAUCAGAUGAGCUUAGGUCGGAUUAGCUAGUUGGUGGGGUAAAGGCCUACCAAGGCGACGAUCCGUAACUGGUCUGAGGGGAUGAUCAGUCACACUGGAACUGGAACACGGUCCGGACUCCUACGGGAGGCAGAAGUGGGGAAUAUUGGACAAUGGGCGAAAGCCUGAUCCAGCCAUGCCGCGUGUGUGAAGAAGGUCUUCGGAUUGUAAAGCACUUUAAGUUGGGAGGAAGGGCAGUAAGUUAAUACCUUGCUGUUUUGACGUUACCAACAGAAUAAGCACCGGCUAACUUCGUG
rnacentral:rRNA from 1 species